CCAGAUUAUCGGCUAAUCGCGUGUGCCCUAAAAAGUAUACGAGGAAAGUCCGGGCAGCAUAGGGAAGGACAGUCGCUAACGGCGACCGGGCGCGAGCCUAGGGAAAGUGCCACAGAAACGAUACCGCCAGUUUCGACUGGUAAGGAUGAAACGAGUGAGGUAAGAGCUCACAGUUCUGCCGGGUGACCGGUGGAAGGGGUAAACCCUGUCUGCUGCAAGGAGAUGGAUUCUUUGAGUCUAAAACUCGAAGCGUCCCGUUAAGGAUUCAUCGUAAACCCGCUUGAGCCCUUUGGCAACAAGGGGCCUAGAUAGAUGAUUAGCCCCGCGCAAGUGGGACAAAACCCGGCUUACAGAUAAUCUGGCACU
rnacentral:RNase_P_RNA from 1 species